rnacentral:piRNA from 1 species
UGCUUUGAGACAGCGUCUUCUGGACCUGAC